rnacentral:rRNA from 1 species
GAUGAACGCUAGCGAUAGGCCUAACACAUGCAAGUCGAGGGGCAGCACAAGGUAGCUUGCUAUCUGGGUGGCGACCGGCGCACGGGUGCGUAACGCGUAUGCAACUUGCCCUAUACAGGAGGAUAACCCGUCGAAAGACGGACUAAUACUGCGUAUGCUCACAACUUGGCAUCAAGUGGUGAGGAAAGAAAUUCGGUAUAGGAUAGGCAUGCGUCCCAUUAGCUUGUUGGUGAGGUAACGGCUCACCAAGGCAACGAUGGGUAGGGGAACUGAGAGGUUUAUCCCCCACACCGGUACUGAGACACGGACCAGACUCCUACGGGAGGCAGCAGUGAGGAAUAUUGGUCAAUGGGCGCGAGCCUGAACCAGCCAAGUCGCGUGAAGGAUGACUGUCUUAUGGAUUGUAAACUUCUUUUAUACGGGAAUAACAAGAGUCACGUGUGACUCCCUGCAUGUACCGUAUGAAUAAGCAUCGGCUAACUCCGUG